CCUGGCGGCCGUAGCGCGGUGGUCCCACCUGACCCCAUGCCGAACUCAGAAGUGAAACGUCGUAGCGCCGAUGGUAGUGUGGGGUCUCCCCAUGCGAGAGUAGGGAACUGCCAGGC
rnacentral:rRNA from 1 species